rnacentral:misc_RNA from 1 species
AGUGAAGCUUUCCUCAUUGUCCACGGUUCUCCCAUAAGGUCCAACGUCCGUGGCCACCAAGCAACUUUCUUCUAACAUUCCAGCUUGGAGCGGUUGUACAUUAAUGAAAACCAACGGAAGAGAAGGGCAUUGCGGUACACAAUGUCCAACCACCUUCGGAAUCGGAAAUCACAUAGAAAAAUAGAGAAAAAAAAUAGAAGUAUCUGCAUCAGACACGGGGCAUAUUCCUCUGUUGCGGUCCUUUCCUUUCUUUUAUUACCUCAAACUGGGUUAUUGCCUCUUCUCUUCUCUUGGUCUCGCUUUCUGCUCCUCAAACUCUGAAAUCAAUAUCGGAAGGAUACAGAUCUGAUCAGUGCUCAAUCAAUCAUGGCCACUCCUGAGGUCCUGCAGCUCGUAGAAGAAGGUCUUCUUUCAUCUCCCCUCCUUGAUUCUUCAAAAGCUGAGAAUGCGAAGUCCCGAGGUCUCUCAAUUGAGAAGAAGAUCGAGUUCCUUGAGAGCUUGACUGGAAAAGUCAGCAACAGAAGAUCUCGGAGAUGGAUAAAUGAUCGUUUGUUGAUGGAACUUGUUCCUCGCUUGAAUGCAGAUGAAAUUAGAGGCUUGUUUGCUCCACCACCUUGGGGUAAUCACUAAUGAUAUAUCCAGCCUAGAUUAUGGGACUUGUUGGCAUUCUACUCGCUCUGCAUACAUAGUUGCCUUGUAUCAAGGCUCAUAAAGCAAUCUAAAGAGCCAUUUGGUAAUUGCAACAGUAGUUGAACAGAUAAGCUAGCAGAUUAUGCCCCCUGAAGUUGAAGUCAAAAUGUGUAUUGUUAUUCUUGUAGUUGAACUUCAAAGUGUUGCAUUUGUCACUUACUAAACCUAGUUUUCAUUAGUAGAAAAGCACGAUUCCAUUUUAUAGUCAAAACAUCAUCACAGUGGAACUUCCCCCACCCCACCAAAAAAAAAAAAUGCUGGUGAUGCUUCAAGACAACAGACUAUAUGUUGUGUUCUUGUACUCUAAUGACUGCGGUAAUAUACCUACUUUGUGGUCAACAUUUGUCUCAGUGGCUCCUUCUUUGCAAUGAUCUCUUCACAUUAUUACUUUCAACAUGUGCCAUAUUAGCUGAUUUUUGGGUUCUUUUUACAGGUGAUGAUGUACCACCGUCACCAUUUAGCAUGACUAAUGUGGGAGAGUGGGAGAAAUUUAGGAAUAUAGACAUGGACAAACAGGUCUCUUUGAUUUUUGUUCAUCAAAGGAUGUUUUAAUCUUUGUGAACUGGUCUGCUGUUGAAGCUGAUAUUUUGUCUUUUAUCAUUACUGAUAUUUUGGAGUGACAAUUAAGUUAAAUAAGAAUUUGAAAGGCAAUAUGAGCUUUUAUAAUACUUUAUGCUAUCGUGCAGAAUUAAGAUUGUUACUCAUGAAUUAUGACUUUGAUAUGUGUUUAUUAGUCAUUAGAUUGUGUUUUAAUGGUAAAUGUUACUGAAGAUACACAUUAUAUGCUAAAAGCAAUUAUUUGAUAAUUAAAAUGUGCAGUGGCAAUAUGUUCUAAAUUUAGUUUUCUUUUCUUUAUUGUAGGCUCAUAUUAUUGAUUCCCUAAGUGGCCCAUCCACAAAGAGGAGGGGUCAUGUUGAUGCUAACAAGGUGGCUGUCUUAAAAGCAUGGCAUAGAAUAGAUUGCCGAACAAGAGAGGCACUUCGCCGUAGCUUUCUUACAGAUCUCAUUGAAGGCUAUGAGGUACACAAUUGCCUUGUGUGUGUUUGGAAUUGUUAAGGUCACUUGCGCUUUGUUCUGAAAAGUGAAAGUUUCUAUCAUUCAGUUAUACUUAGGUCAUUGAUUAGUUCUAUGAUUGCACUGCUAUCACAAUGACAAAUACCAUUCAAAUAGCUUUCACUUAUGGUUUCUUGUUUGUUUUUUAUGUCACCAACAAUAUACGCAGAAAAUUCAUAUGGAUCUCCUGUGCAUGUUUCCUUCUUCUGAUGUAGAAAUAGAAUAGCCAAAUGUUUAUUAUUGUUGAAUCUUAACUUUUUCAGGCAUGCAUACGAGCCUUCAUUCAGGAGAGUGGAGAUGAAGAAGUUCUUUCAUUACAAGUUCAAGAUCCCUUUCAUAGAUUGUUGCUGCAUGGUGUCUGUGAGGUGAAUUUUUGUUAUUUGAUAUUUACCUUGAAUAUGAACAAAUCGAGAAGGGGUAGCUUAUUUUUCUGCAGACAAUAGUACGAGUUUAGAGAAAAAAUAUAUAUGAUUACAUGAUUCACCAAUGUGAGAUUAUAUAGGUGCACCUAAAACUUUUCUUAUCCUUUUUUUAUGAUGUUUUUACCAUCUGACAUCAAAGUCUAUGCAGACUUACUAAGAUUUCUCUCCUUGAGCAGUUUUACAACUUGGUGUCAGUGACAGUGUCCGAGUCCAAGGACAAAGAGUCAUUGAAGACAACUAGGAUAAAGAAGAAGAAAAUGGGUGUGGUUGAUCUUCCAAAUGUCACCCUGUCGCAUUUUCUGAAAAUGUCCAAGGAAGGUGUUUGGUGAUCUAAUUGGGCAGCAGGAGCUCCAUGUUCUGUAUAUAAAUAAAUAAAACUCUUCAUGAUCCGUGCCGGAUCCUGAAAUGAGGUUGUAAUAUUUAACGUGGAUGUAACAUUUCAUUCACUUUGUACCAUUUAUGACAUGUAGUUUAUUGACCUCUAGCUUCUGUGAUAUGCUGGAGCGUCUGAAUGUACAAAUAUGUUUCCAAUCAACUAAAGAGGUUGAUUGCAGGUCUUAUUGGAUUAAUUCUUUUGAUUCACCUUUGUAAUGGAUGGCUUUGAAGUUGCAGUUCUUUUGCCUCUGCUUCUUGUGGAGGAUUUAGUGCAAACUAAACUCCAAAUAUGAAAGGUGACAGACUUUAAAUGUUAG